GGGAUGCCAGGUGUCCAUGUUGAUGGCAUGGAUGUGUUGAAGGUGAGGGAGGUAGCAAAGGAGGCUAUUGGGAGAGCUAGGAGAGGAGAAGGCCCAACUUUGGUUGAAUGUGAGACUUACAGAUUCAGAGGACACUCUUUGGCUGAUCCUGAUGAGCUUCGUGACCCAGGUGAGUUGCUUUUAAGAUUUGAAAUUUGUAUAUACAUAAGAUUUGAAAUUUGUUGUGAUUGUAUAUUUGUAUUGUGAAUUGCAGCUGAGAAGGCUCAUUAUGCAACAAGGGAUCCAAUAACAGGAUUGAAGAAAUACCUGAUUGAAAACAAACUGGCAAGUGAAGCAGAUUUAAAGGCGAUAGAGAAGAAGAUAGAUGAGGUGGUUGAGGAAGCUGUGGAGUUUGCAGAUGAAAGCCCUGCUCCUUCAAGAAGCCAACUGCUGGAAAAUGUGUUUGCAGAUCCAAGAGGGUUUGGAAUUGGACCUGAUGGAAGUUACAGGUGUGAGGAUCCUAAGUUUACUGAAGGCACUGCUCAGGUCUAGUCUAUUGCUAAGCUUUUGUUUCUUUACUUCUCAUGUUGUCCAUCUUUUUAUUAUUAUUAUUAUUAUUAUUAUUAUUAUUAUGAACUGUUA
rnacentral:lncRNA from 1 species